UACAGAGGUGGCAAGCGUUGUUCGGAAUUACUGGGCGUAAAGGGCGCGUAGGCGGCCAUCUAAGUCAGACGUGAAAUCCCCCGGCUUAACCUGGGAACUGCGUCUGAUACUGGACGGCUUGAGUAUGGGAGAGGGAUGCAGAAUUCCAGGUGUAGCGGUGAAAUGCGUAGAUAUCUGGAGGAAUACCGGUGGCGAAGGCGGCAUCCUGGACCAUUACUGACGCUGAGGCGCGAAAGCUAGGGGAGCAAACGGG
rnacentral:rRNA from 1 species